AUGUCUAGGGGUUCUGAGAGGAAGGUCCCCCACACUGGUACUGAGACACGGACCAGACUCCUACGGGAGGCAGCAGUGAGGAAUAUUGGUCAAUGGGCGAGAGCCUGAACCAGCCAAGUCGCGUGAAGGAUGACGGCCCUACGGGUUGUAAACUUCUUUUGUCAGGGAGCAAUUGGGUCCACGCGUGGGCUUAGCGAGAGUACCUGAAGAAAAAGCAUCGGCUAACUCCGUGCCAGCAGCCGCGGUAAUACGGAGGAUGCGAGCGUUAUCCGGAUUUAUUGGGUUUAAAGGGUGCGUAGGCGGAAUAUCAAGUCAGCGGUAAAAAUUCGGGGCUCAACCCCGUCGUGCCGUUGAAACUGAUGUUCUUGAGUGGGCGAGAAGUAUGCGGAAUGCGUGGUGUAGCGGUGAAAUGCAUAGAUAUCACGCAGAACUCCGAUUGCGAAGGCAGCAUACCGGCGCCCAACUGACGCUGAAGCACGAAAGCGUGGGUAUCGAACAGGAUUAGAUACCCUGGUAGUCCACGCAGUAAACGUUGAAUGCUAAUUGUCCGGAGGGAUUGACCUCUGGGUGAUACAGCGAAAGCGUUAAGCAUCCCACCUGGGGAGUACGCCGGCAACGGUGAAACUCAAAGGAAUUGACGGGGGCCCGCACAAGCGGAGGAACAUGUGGUUUAAUUCGAUGAUACGCGAG
rnacentral:rRNA from 1 species